UCCAAAGCGCUAUUGUGUCAGACUCAUCUCUCGCUGAAGAGGAUCCAGCGACAUCAAGAGAUUACGGAAAAUCACGCGAGAUAACUGGCUUGCACCUUGUUGGGUUUUUUCAAGGGCAGAGGGGAGAUUCCUGGCGUGCAUCCACUUAAUUUGAAGAAGAACAUCACCUGAUCACCUGUCUGUAAUCCACCUGCGAAGACACUGCUGAGGGCAGAUGAGUGCAUCCUCAAAUGUCUGUGUGUACCUAAAUGAAGAUCCAGAGAAGCUGGUGAGGGAGUACAUGGACGUUGAUGAAUGAAAUGGCCAAAGCCGAGACUGUCCUCGGAAUCGUCAUUUGAGCAGAGGGUGCAGAGGCUGCCGAUGCACAUCUGGAUGUUGGG